rnacentral:ncRNA from 1 species
AUCCUGUUUAGUACGAGAGGAACCGCAGGUUCAGAUAAUUGGUAUAUGUGCCUGGUCGAAAGGCCAAUGGUGCGAAGCUACCAUCUG